rnacentral:rRNA from 1 species
GACGAACGCUGGCGGCGUGCUUAACACAUGCAAGUCGAACGGAGUGGCGAACGGGUGAGUAACACGUGGGUGAUCCGCCUUGCACUUCGGGAUAAGCUUGGGAAACUGGGUCCAAUACCGGAUAGUGCAAGAUGGGCGCGCGGCUUAUCAGCUUGUUGGUGGGGUAAUGGCCUACCAAGGCGUCGACGGGUAGCCGGCCUGAGAGGGGGUACGGGCACAUGGGGCCUAAGGUACGGACCAGAGUCCGACGGGGGGCAGCAGUGGGGAAUCUGGCGCAGUGGGCGGGAGCCUGAGGCGGCGACGCCGGGGGGGUGAUGAAGGCCUUCGGGUUGUAAACGCCUUUCGACAAGGACGCGGUACCUGUAUAAGAAGCACCGGCUAACUACGUGCCAGCAGCCGCGGUAAUUC